CGCCUCUUGAUUUAUUAUAAGAGGUCCAGCCUGCCCAGUGACCAUGUUCAACGGCCGCGGUAUCCUAACCGUGCGAAGGUAGCGUAAUCACUUGUUCUUUAAAUGUGGACUAGUAUGAAUGGCAUCACGAAGGUUAUACUGUCUCCUUUUUCUAAUCAGUGAAACUAAUCUCCCCGUGAAGAAGCGUGGAUAAAAUUAUAAGACGAGAAGACCCUAUGGAGCUUUAAACAAUACAGCACUUACCUAAUAACCUUAAAUGUCUCCGUGACACUAACUCUUUAAAGUAAGAUGACUGCAAGUUUUUGGUUGGGGUGACCACGGAGUAUAUCAUAACCUCCAUGUUGAAAGAAUUUUUCUAAGCCAAGAAUAACCAAUCUAAGCAUUAACAAAUUAACAUCUAUUGACCCAAUAAAUUUGAUCAACGAACCAAGUUACCCUAGGGAUAACAGCGCAAUCCUCUUCAAGAGCCCCUAUCGACAAGUGGGUUUACGACCUCGAUGUUGGAUCAGGGUAUCCCAGUGGUGCAGCCGCUACUAAAGGUUCGUUUGUUCAACGAUUAAAACCCUA
rnacentral:rRNA from 1 species